GCUGGCUAUCGCCUCCCUUGGAUGACAUAUCCAGCAGCAGCACAAUCGAGAGAUGCCCCACUGAUGCAUAAACAAACUGGGACAGCCUGCCAAACGGACAUCUGUGGGAUAUAAUAAGAUAUGAUUAACGUGCAUGCUUGACAUCGAAAAUGAAGCGUAAAGGCGAGAGGAGGCGACCAGAGUCUAGAAAAAAGCGCUGUUCAGCUCACAGCUCAGAGGCGGAGCAUAACAAGUCUGAUAUUUACAUUGGGAUAACAGACCAACUCUAUUUCGCCGUACUCCAGCAGAAGAUUAAAAGCACAUCCGAACGACACUCUUUCUGUGUAGACGAUGAGCUGGUAUACGAGAACUUCUAUGCGGACUUUGGCCCCCUUAACCUGGCCAUGUUUUAUCGUUUCUGUUGCAAACUCACCAAGAAGCUCAAGUCCAUUACGCUCUGUAGGAAGAAGAUUCUCUUCUAUACCUGUGGAGACCAUAAGAAGCAAGCCAAUGCUGCUUACCUGAUCGGCUCAUAUGCUGUAUUGCAUCUUCACAUGACCCCAGAGGAGGCAUCCAGUUUACUUGUCUCCAAGAAUUCAACAUAUCUUCCAUUUAGAGAUGCCUCAUUUGGAACAUGCUUGUACAAUCUGAGCAUUCUGGACUGCCUUCAUGCCAUCCAGAAGGCAGUGGAGUUUAGCUGGCUUGACUUCACCAACUUUGAUGUGGAGGAGUAUGAACAUUACGAGAGAGCAGAAAAUGGGGACUUUAACUGGAUUAUUCCAGGCAAGUUCCUCGCUUUCAGUGGGCCCCAUCCGAAGAGCAAAAUAGAGAACGGAUACCCGCUCCACGCCCCCGAAGCCUACUUCCCUUACUUCAGGAAGCACAACAUUACCACUAUCGUACGGCUCAACAAGAAGAUGUACGACGCCAGGCGCUUCACCGACUCCGGCUUCGAGCACCACGACCUGUUCUUCGUGGACGGCAGCACGCCCACUGACGCCAUCGUCAGGAAGUUCCUGAACAUCUGUGAGAAUGCAGAAGGCGCCAUAGCUGUCCACUGCAAAGCUGGUCUGGGGCGUACGGGCACUCUGAUCGCCUGCUACAUGAUGAAGCAUUACCAUCUUACAGCAGCGGAGGCCAUCGCCUGGAUACGGAUCUGCCGCCCGGGGUCUGUUAUUGGGCCCCAGCAGAACUAUGUCGAAGAUAAGCAGGCCGGCAUGUGGACAGAAGGGGAUGGCUUCAAGGAGAAGAUGCUGGAUGAGCAGGAGAACGGCAAGAUGGCCGUCACCCGGAUCCUAUCUGGGGUGGAUGACAUCACCAUCAACGGCAGCAACAAUAAGAGAACGCCCAAAAAUGAGCAGAAGAUGGAACUGUAUAACGAUGAGGAGGAGAGGAAUGGUGUGACACAAGGUGACAAACUGCGAGCACUGAAGAGCAAGAGGCAGUCCAGAUCAUCUACUGGUUCACUAUCGCAAGGAGAAAACAAGAUUCACACCAGGUCAUCCUCCCUCUCUCCAAGCCGGUGCAUCCUGCAGUCUAGCAGCUACAAGGCCAGUGUUAACGCCCCUACUCUGGCUAGCCAAUCGGACAGCAGGAAAAGAACCAGAACCUCCCUGCCAGCCAAUGGAGUAGCAAACAGCUCCCUGUGCCACAGCAGACUAGCCAGGUCCCUAGGCAACUUGCAUGUUCAGACUGGCGACAGAGACCUGCUCUGCUUUGAGCCAUGCGGUAAACCUAGAGAAACCAACUGUUCCACGGCCAACAGGGGCACUCUGACCAACCUUAACACGGCAAAGGCCCAUCACAACCAGGCAAGCUCUCCACAGGCCUAUUCAUAAGAGAUCAUGACCCUUUGACUUCAUCUCUUCGCAGCAGAUUACGUUUUUUGGAUGUGCUGGGAUGGAUCGAAUCUCUUUGGAGUUUAUUUUUGAGUUUUUUAACCCUCUGUUUUUAACAGCUAUGGACAGACCACUUUGCGGCCCAAGAGUUCUUGCUUUAACAAAUCUGUCAUAUGUUUGUUUUGUGCAUCCAAGCCUUCUUGGCCUCUGCUUUUUCAUCUCUACACUAAAGACAGUUGGCCAGUCAGGACUACUUGCACUAAUGCUGUCCAUUUUAACUUAAAGCCAGCGGUGAGGAGCCUCGUGUACUUUCCUGUUAUAGGGCUUGUACAUCGCGACAACGACCGCCUCCAUUUUGGAAGCAUAGGAGCAUUAUGUUGCUAGUAAUGUUUUUUGGUCAUUGUUUACUAAUCCUUCCAUUGAUAAAACUGUGAUCAGUCCUCAUAGAAUGUUUUUUAGUUGUAUUAUCUGCUAGAUUGAAUUGAUUGUACGCUCACUAAUUUGUAUUUUAGAUUUGGGUAACACAACUAAAGAAGGGGUUGUAUGGCCUUCAGUAAACUAAAAAAAAAUAGAUUUUGAGCAACAAAACGUAUAUUUUUAAAAAAGCAUACAAAAAAAAUGUUGAGCCUUUUUUUUUAAGUUUUUUGAAAAUCAUGAAUAUAUUUAUCUACAUGGCUCAGAAAUGCAAUUUUAACUAUGUAGCACAAGAACGGUUAAAGGACCACAGAUUUUAUCAUGAGCCACAUGAUGGCCCAGUUGUUGAGCUCGACCUUAGAGGCACUAUCUACAACAUUCCGAACACUAUCAUCCUCCUUACCUGCCGUCCUUUCCUCUGUUCUCAGGACUGUGUUGUGCUUAUCCUGCGCUUUCUUCCCGUGUACUGCUGGCUAUAGCUUCUCUGGACACUAGUACUGCUUUCCUGCUCCCUCUCCUAAUAUGAAAUCCUUCUCUUCCUUUGUUUCCCACUUCUAACAGAUGCACUGUGGACAGAGGAUGUAAAGCUCGCUACUCUAUGCAACCGAUGCGCUUUUCCAGACUCUGUCACUCCGUACCCAAAGCUAGAGCCCCUCUACUGCGAUGAGCCUGGGAUCUGAAUAGCAUGAGGAUUGUGUUUUAAAGACUGACCUUAGCAGUCAAAUCUUUAUUUUUUUUCACUUUUAAAGUACAGUGCAUUUUGUUAUAAAGGAACCAUGCAAAAUGGUCCAGUCUGGCUUCAAUGUUUGUGUGACAUGCUCUCAUGUAAACUAGUUAAAUUGCAAUUCUGUAAAGCACUUGGUUUAUCAUGAAACUUUUUCAUAAAGCAUAAUCAUAGAAUUGUCACCCAUUAAAGCAUGCAUUAGUAUCGUAAGGUUUACCACGCGAGACUGGCAUGUGAAUAUGUCAACCUGGCGUUUACUUUUAAACAAGCAGUAAAAGUAGAUAUUCCAGUUUUGAAGAACAGUAUACCAAUGGCAGUGCAUCCUGCAGAGUUCAUGCACAUACAGGGUGUUUGUAUAAGUCAAGUAUUGUGUGCAUCAGUCAAGUUCAUGUAUUACAGUAAUGUAAAUAAGAAAUCAUUUGAUAUACUGAGAACGUCUAUUUUGUAAAUAUUUUGUACGGUUUGAUUCAUUAGAAGUAGAGGAACCAAGCCCUCAUGGGGUCCAAACAAGUAAUUAUGCUUGGUUAAAACUGGCUUUUUAAAUAAACCCAAUACUCUA